UACGGGGGGGGCAAGCGUUGUUCGGAAUUACUGGGCGUAAAGGGCUCGUAGGCGGCCAACUAAGUCAGACGUGAAAUCCCUCGGCUUAACCGGGGAACUGCAUCUGAUACUGGAUGGCUUGAGUUCGGGAGAGGGAUGCGGAAUUCCAGGUGUAGCGGUGAAAUGCGUAGAUAUCUGGAGGAACACCGGUGGCGAAGGCGGCAUCCUGGACCGACAUUGACGCUGAACGGCGAAAGCUAGGGGAGCAAACGGG
rnacentral:rRNA from 1 species